AAACCAGCACCUCAAGUGGUCAGGAGGAUUAUUGGGCCUAAAGCAUCCGUAGCCUGUUCUGUAAGUUUUCGGUUAAAUCCACUAGCUCAACUAGUGGGCUGCCGAAAAUACUGUAGAACUAGGGAGUGGGAGAGGUAGACGGUAUUCGGUAGGAAGGGGUAAAAUCCUUUGAUCUAUUGAGGACCACCUGUGGCGAAGGCGGUCUUCCAGAACACGUUCGACGGUGAGGGAUGAAAGCUGGGGGAGCAAACCGGAUUAGAAACCCCGGUAGUCC
rnacentral:rRNA from 1 species